rnacentral:rRNA from 1 species
UACGGAGGGGGCUAGCGUUGUUCGGAAUUACUGGGCGUAAAGCGCACGUAGACGGCUUUGUAAGUUAGAGGUGAAAGCCCGGGGCUCAACUCCGGAAUUGCCUUUAAGACUGCAUCGCUAGAAUUGUGGAGAGGUAAGUGGAAUUCCGAGUGUAGAGGUGAAAUUCGUAGAUAUUCGGAAGAACACCAGUGGCGAAGGCGGCUCUCUGGACCGUAACUGACGCUGAGGCGCGAAAGCGUGGGGAGCAAACAGG